rnacentral:rRNA from 1 species
CCUACGGGGGGCAGCAGUGGGGAAUAUUGGACAAUGGGGGGAACCCUGAUCCAGCCAUGCCGCGUGUGUAAAGAAGGCCCUCGGGUUGUAAAGCACUUUCAGUGAGGAAGAACGCCUGGUGGUUAAUACCCAUCAGGAAAGACAUCACUCACAGAAGAAGCACCGGCUAACUCCGUGCCAGCAGCCGCGGUAAUACGGAGGGUGCGAGCGUUAAUCGGAAUUACUGGGCGUAAAGCGCGCGUAGGUGGCUUGAUAAGCCGGUUGUGAAAGCCCCGGGCUCAACCUGGGAACGGCAUCCGGAACUGUCAAGCUAGAGUGCAGGAGAGGAAGGUAGAAUUCCCGGUGUAGCGGUGAAAUGCGUAGAGAUCGGGAGGAAUACCAGUGGCGAAGGCGGCCUUCUGGACUGACACUGACACUGAGGUGCGAAAGCGUGGGUAGCAAACAGGAUUAGAUACCCCUGUAGUC